AACAAGGCGUACCUGCGGACCUGCGGAGGGAUCAUUACACAAUAAACAUAUGAAGGCUGCACCGCCAACAGGCGGCAAGGCUGGAGUAUUUUAUUACCCUUGUCUUUUGCGCACUUGUUGUUUCCUGGGCGGGUUCGCCCGCCUCCAGGACCACAUGAUAAACCUUUUUUAUGCAGUUGCAAUCAGCGUCAGUACAACAAAUGUAAAUCAUUUACAACUUUCAGCAAUGGAUCUCAGAUC
rnacentral:misc_RNA from 1 species